GAUUACUGCACUCCACUUGCUGGCUCAACUGCUGGGCACCCUGUAGGGACCCUCUUGGACCCCCUUGUAAGCCCUGGCCUACGCCUAGCAGGGCUGGUCGGUUGCACCCUUAUGUGACGGGCCCGGCGACGUCUUGCUGCAGCGGUAGCCUUGAGUGCCAGCAUCAGUCCUGUCCCAUUGCUGCUGUUCUGAACACGAGCAAGCUCCUCUCCAAGGCCCUUCACGAUAUCGAGGCUGGCCACCAAAAACAGUGUGAACCUCGGUGCUAAGGGCUUGAAUGCCACUGGGCUGUA